rnacentral:rRNA from 1 species
GAUGAACGCUGGCGGCGUGCCUAAUACAUGCAAGUCGAGCGAACAGACGAGGAGCUUGCUCCUCUGACGUUAGCGGCGGACGGGUGAGUAACACGUGGAUAACCUACCUAUAAGACUGGGAUAACUUCGGGAAACCGGAGCUAAUACCGGAUAAUAUAUUGAACCGCAUGGUUCAAUAGUGAAAGACGGUUUUGCUGUCACUUAUAGAUGGAUCCGCGCCGCAUUAGCUAGUUGGUAAGGUAACGGCUUACCAAGGCAACGAUGCGUAGCCGACCUGAGAGGGUGAUCGGCCACACUGGAACUGAGACACGGUCCAGACUCCUACGAGAGGCAGCAGUAGGGAAUCUUCCACAAUGGGCGAAAGCCUGACGGAGCAACGCCGCGUGAGUGAUGAAGGUCUUCGGAUCGUAAAACUCUGUUAUUAGGGAAGAACAAAUGUGUAAGUAACUAUGCACGUCUUGACGGUACCUAAUCAGAAAGCCACGGCUAACUACGUG